GAAUUGCGCAAAUUCCAUAAGAAAGAUGGUGAACUAUGAUUGUGUAGUUUGAAGCCAGAUAAAACUCUGGUGGAGAACCGCAGCGAUUCUGACAAGCAAAUCGAUCGUCAAACGUGAGUAUAGGAGCGAAAAAAUAAUCAAACCAUCUAGUGGCUGGUUCCCGCCGAAGUGUCCUUCA
rnacentral:ncRNA from 1 species